UACGGAAGGGGCAAGCGUUGUUCGGAAUCAUUGGGCGUAAAGCGCGCGCAGGCGGCCUUUUAAGUCUGGCGGUGAAAUGCCGGGGCUCAACCCCGAGCGUGCCGCGGAUACUGGGAGGCUGGAGACGAGUAGAGGCAAGCGGAAUUCCGGGUGUAGCGGUGGAAUGCGUAGAGAUCCGGAAGAACACCGGAGGCGAAGGCGGCUUGCUGGGUUUGGUCUGACGCUGAGGCGCGAAAGCGUGGGGAGCGAACAGG
rnacentral:rRNA from 1 species